rnacentral:lncRNA from 1 species
GCUUGGGCACAAUUUUAACCACAAUAUUUUUUUGGAUAGCAUGAGUUAAAACAAAAAAAAAACUAGAAAAAACCAACAAAACAUGAGUCAAAUAAGAGGGAUAAAAUAUAACAUACCAAUAGUAUACUACAUAAAAUUAGGAGGUAAAUGCCCUUUCCGAGACUUCUUUGCGGUGAAGGAUUGAAUAUCCGGAGCAUACUCAUGAAUUUGUUUCCUAAGACCCGGAUCACGCACAAUCUCAUUUGAAUUAAACUCAUUGACCACAUUAGGUGGUGGUUCUUCUACUUCGGCUUCCGAUUGCACAACAUUCANN